GACGAACGCUGGCGGCGUGCUUAACACAUGCAAGUCGAACGGAAAGGCCCUGCUUUUGUGGGGUGCUCGAGUUGCGAACGGGUGAGUAACACGUGAGUAACCUGCCCUUGACUUUGGGAUAACUUCAGGAAACUGUGGCUAAUACCGGAUAGGAGCUCCUGCUGCAUGGUGGUGGUUGGAAAGUUUCGGCUGUUGGGGAUGGACUCGCGGCUUAUCAGCUUGUUGGUGGGGUAGUGGCUUACAAAGGCUUUGACGGGUAGCCGGCCUGAGAGGGUGACCGGCCACAUUGGGACUGAGAUACGGCCCAGACUGCUACGGGAGGCAGCAGUGGGGAAUAUUGCACAAUGGGCGGAAGCCUGAUGCAGCAACGCCGCGUGCGGGAUGACGGCCUUCGGGUUGUAAACCGCUUUCGCCUGUGACGAAGCGUGAGUGACGGUAAUGGGUAAAGAAGCACCGGCUAACUACGUG
rnacentral:rRNA from 1 species